rnacentral:rRNA from 1 species
AAAAAAAAAGUGGGGGAUAACGUCCGGAAACGGGCGCUAAUACCGCAUACGUCCUGAGGGAGAAAGUGGGGGAUCUUCGGACCUCACGCUAUCAGAUGAGCCUAGGUCGGAUUAGCUAGUUGGUGGGGUAAAGGCCUCCCAAGGCGACGAUCCGUAACUGGUCUGAGAGGAUGAUCAGUCACACUGGACCUGAGACACUGUCCAGACUCCUACGGGAGGCAGCAGUGUGGAAACUUGUACAAUGGGCUAAAGCCUGAUCCAGUCAUUUCUUUUUUUUUAAAA